UACGUAGGGUGCGAGCGUUAAUCGGAAUUACUGGGCGUAAAGCGUGCGCAGGCGGUUCGUCAAGUCUGAUGUGAAAGCCCCGGGCUCAACCUGGGAACGGCAUUGGAAACUGGCGGGCUGGAGUGUGGCAGAGGGGGGUGGAAUUCCGCGUGUAGCAGUGAAAUGCGUAGAGAUGCGGAGGAACACCGAUGGCGAAGGCAGCCCCCUGGGCUGACACUGACGCUCAGGCACGAAAGCGUGGGGAGCAAACAGG
rnacentral:rRNA from 1 species